rnacentral:lncRNA from 1 species
AAGCUUGUUGAAUUGCGAUUGUGUUUUACCACAUUUCUAACUAGGUCAACUUUGGGAGGACUGAGGGGCUUAAUUCUUCAUUCUGGUUAAAAGCGUCUCUGAGUUUAUUGAACAGGAUUUCCAGGGUGCCCUCGGCUGGCUGGAGCAGCUCAACCUGAGGUCAACUGGGUUGUUUAGGAAGGUGACUGAGAUGGAGUGAGGAGGGCAAGAGGUUUAUGGGGUCCAAAACCUGGGAAAGGAGAGGAGGGAAGAAAGAAGGUUGGUCAAGAAGGGCAGAUCUGACAAAUUCUUGGCCAACUCGAUAGGGAGCUCUGGAGCACACACCACCAUCAGAGAAGUCCCACAUGGGCAGACGCGGCUGGGCCCUAGCAGCCUGGCCAAUGAGAUGGGGGCUUCCUGGGAAGAGUGUGGCCUUGGCUGGAAGGCGCAGGUGGAUUCUGAGGGCAGAGCCAGCUAGAGGCUGUCGGUUGACUGCUCCCCUCGCAGCUGAAGACAGCAAAUCCACCUUCCUUGGAAGGACCCAUAUGGAAAGGUGUAUACACAGACAAGAUAUCUGGGGUGGGAGGCGUGACCACCCAGAGCUUUACUGAUUCCUGUCCUGGCCUCACUCUCCUCAGUCAUUAUGCUGCUCCAGGCUGCCCACGGUUCCCCACCUUGAUGAUCCAGGGACUUUUUGUUGAAUUUACCAGUCCACCCUGCAGAGCCCGCUCUCCCAUCUGGGUAACACUGGGUGAAGGGAAGCAACAUCUUACU